rnacentral:rRNA from 1 species
GGUGUUAGACCCGUUGGAGUAUACUCGGUGGCUAUUGAUGUUUCCUAUGAGUCGGAUUGYUUGAKAAUGCAGUCCAAAUUUGGUGGUWAACUCCMUCUAAGGCUAAAUACUUGUAUGASUCCKAUAGCRAACAAGUACCGKGAGGGAAAGUUGAAAAGAACUUUGAAGAGAGAGUUAAAUAGUACGUGAAAUCGCUUAGAGGUAAACGAGUGGAGCCGAAAAAGUCGGACGGGAUUCAGUUGGGUGUAUGAUGAUGAUCGGUUCGGUGAAAACCACAAAAGGCAUCACUGUUUCGGUAUGUUUGUUGUACGCACAAUGCACUUUCUGUUCGAUUAGACUGUGACCAAUAGUGUUGUUUUACUGUCSUAAUGUUGAAGGUGACCASYUGCUUGCGAUUGGUUUUAUAGCUCAUUGCAYGGUGAAAUUAAUGUAUUGGUGAAUAUGCAAUCABUCAACGUUGAUAGUAUGUUAUAUGUGUGGUUUGCUAGBUGGCUACAUGUAGACUGUUAUCADAUCAUAUGUGUGAUGYAAUGUCGAUGGAUUGGUUUAAAGUCACAGUAUAAUGUAGGUUAUCUACUCGUCCCGKCUUGAAACACGGACCAAGGAGUUUUAUAUGAUCGCGAGUCAAAGGGCUGUACGAAACCCCAGGGCGCAAUUAAUGUAAAGGUUUACUUCRAGUAGACUGAGAUGUGACCUGAAAGUGUUUGGUCACAAGCCKAAUGCAAUCAGUGCAACAUCGACCCGUCUAAAGAUGUUCGCAUCUGGGCGGAGUUUGAGCGAUCAUG